rnacentral:rRNA from 1 species
CCAGUGGAGGAGCGUGUUGCGUGCGGGUACACUGGCGAAUGGGUCGCGAUAGGUGUCCUUGGAAUAGGGGUGGGGGGCGUUCUGGAUAGAUCAAGCAGGGAACGGAGGUUCAGGAACUUUAGGGUCGUGGCCGCCCACCUCGCCGCGGCCUCAGCUACGCUCGCCGCCUCGACGCAGGUACCUACUAGAGGAAGGGGAAUAGAGAGACAUCAUCGGUACCUAUCUGGGGAAGGGGAAGAAAGGAGUCGUCGGUACCUACUUGAGGUAGGGGAAGAGAGAGUUCAUCGGUACCUCCCUGAGGAAGGGGAAGAGAGGAGUCGUCGGUACCUACUUGAGGUAGGGUAAAGAAAAGGGUCUUCGGUAUACUUGAGGUAGCCAGGUAGGGGAAGUAGUGAGUAGGAAUUGGGAGAAAAAAAAAAGGAUGUUGACAAAAUCUUCGAUGUUGACCGGUACUUUUUUCAACGCAGGUAUGAGAUUCCACGACCUUGGCCGAUCCCUUUUUCGAUGCUGGUGGAAUUAGCCUCCACGACCUUAGCCACUACGUACGGAUGUUGUUGCUCACUCCCCUGCCGGUACCGCCACUGCUCCCUCGACGCUACCGCCCAACCCCGUGCUUCUGGAUGUCCUACCCACCUGCUCGUGCACAUUACUCCGCCUGCCACGUCGCUACACCGUCUCUGUUCGCCCCCCUCUUCUAACCCCACUUUGCCCUACGCAACUGAAACUAGCUUGCCAGUGUGCGUACGAUUAGACUGCCACCCACCACCUGGACGGGUUUUCAAUCCGGCCGCGUGGCCGCGGAUAGUCAGGGGUAUAAAAAUACGAGUUACAGAGCCUAAAAUACGGUUAUGUCUAGCCUGUGUAAACCAGCGGAAAAGCGACAGUCCACGGCUUGUUCAUGUUAUCGAUUUCAAUCGUGGAAAAAGCCGUUUGAUCAACGACUCAAAAUGUUCGACGGGUAUAAAAUCCGGUCGCCCAUUUGUCGAAGUAUUUAACUUAUUCUUUUUAUUUUACACAAGGUGUGUGAUGACUAUAGGGGAGGUUUCGACUAUGUUCAUAGUUUCCCACAAACCCCGUCGACUGAAGACAUACCCUUUCCGUCUACAAAUAGAUGUACUUUAUAACAGUUUAGUCCGGUAGAUCUAGACAAAUUGUACAUCUAUAACCUACGUUACGACAUUAGUAAAAGUUAUUUUCCUUUUCCUUGGGUGUCUGUUCCAACAGUCUUAGCGUUAAGACUUAGCCUAGCCUCGAGGUUACUGUCCUAGCGUUUAGUAUCUUAGAAGUGAUAGUCCUAGCAUUUUUGCAUCUAAGAUACUUGGUUUUAGCAUCUUAGUCUCCCCAAUCAAAUCUAGCAUUUCAGCAUCUUAGCAUGUUGUUUUAGCGCUAAGACUGUUGGAACGGGUGUUUAUAUUUUACGUGUGUAUUGAUAGUCUUGAACCGUCGUGAAACAUGUUUUGUUUUUUUGACUGUUGUCGCUGUGAUAAAUUUUCUUCUAUUUACGAUCCGUUCUGUAAAACAUGUUUUGUUUUUCGACUUUGGUCACUGUGUAAUAAAGUUAUGUUUCAAGGUAUUAUAUAAAUUGUCGUUGAACAAAAAAUAAAGUGUACGUUUUUAAAGUGAAUUAAUAGGUAUAUACACACACAUGAAAUUACAUUCUGUAGCAUUUCUUUACAUUCUUUAUUAUAGACUAACGGUUUAGUCUUACACUCAGAUUCUUUUCAUCUAUAUGGGCGG